CAAAUGUUCUUUUUAGACCUAUAUUAAAUAUUAUACCAACUAAGUAUAAUAUCCAUUGCUUGCAUUAUCGAUUUAUGCUAUACUCCAGUGCUUCACAACCACCAUGGGAUCUCCCCUAAUUCCACAAAAAGAAUCAGAAGGAGAAAGUCAUUCAACAGGUGCAAUAUAUUCAAGCAUGCUCUAACCUUGUUAAUUUCUUAUGCCUCAAUUACACACAAUAGCAAAAAUUCCGAGAUUUUACUAUUAACAUGACGUAAAGUCAUGAUUUUAUUAAAGACAUGGAGGCGAGUAUUAUGCAUAUCUCUUUCUUUAUUACUCUCAGCAGCAAAUAAAUAGAG